CUUCAGUCGAGUUAUAUCCCGUGUAAACUCGCACCCACUCUCAAUACCUGCUACUAUAGGCGCGUAAGGCCAGCAAAUUUGAGGGAAGAGGCAAAUUGUUUACAUCAACACGAAUGCUCAACUGGUACUUAUUUCAUCGAUCCAGGAGAAAUUUGAACCCAAAAUGUAAAGACGGACGAAAUGCCGUUAAGCAUUUUGCCAACCCACCGCCUUAUAGUAUCCUAAUAAUUAUUGGCACAAGGCAAUUUUAGGGCUUUAGUAAAUUAAAUCGAUUCCAGGACUUGACAGGUGCUUUAUUUUAUCGCCUCCGAAAGGAUAAAAGGCAAAGCCGAUCCUGGUGGAAUUUGAACUCAGCAGAAGGUAAAAAAAACAGCCCAGUGAGUCUUAACAAAUAUGUAGGAAACGAAUAUGAUAAAAAAAAAAAAAAUUACCCGCUGACGACCCCGGAGGGAGGAGAGGACUUUCGGAAAAUUCAGAACUUUCGGUUAUUUUGCAUACUUUCAACAAAUGUGAUAUCGAAAUCAAACGUAAACAGCUCCUUUUCCAGAAAAGGAAAGAUUUGGCUGCUAUUCCUAGCAUGCCCUGCUACCAUGUAAGAGCUAUUUGCAUUCACACUGAAAUAUUUACUAACUUUUUUCCCUUCCAUUUAUUGUUUCCACUUUAUGGAAGUCGAUGUUGACAUCCACCUCAGUUAAUUUUGCUUUUCAGUUUUGUGCUUUCUGGAAGAAAAGCCCUCACAUUAUCUCAAAGCUACAAGAAUUCACUAACACAAUUUGUUUAUUUUUUAAAAAAGAUUUCGUAGAGGAAUUAGAUACAAUGGGUUUUUUUCUGAUUUAAACACUAAGGGGUUAAAAAGUGCCAAAAUUAUAAAAUCAGCUUCUUUUUUGGCCUUUAGAACCCUAAAACUAUACAUAUAUAUUUUUUGCUUAGAGUUAAAAAAUGCGGAUUUUAUAGCUUUAAAUUUCAAAGGGCCUAAAAAAGGCUGAUUUCAUAGUUUGGGACCAUUUUUAGGUUUUUAAAGGCUUUUAGAGCCAGAAAAGAAUAAAAAAAAAAUGAAACACAAUAUUAGUAUUAAGCUAAGAAAAGUUUAUUGAUAAAGUGGCUGUAAAAAAUCGAGAAAUAUGACAUAUACAUAAUUUAAUUUUUCUUCUUCUCCAUUUUGUUGAUGAGAUUCAUGUUGCACUUCAUGAAAAUUAACAAACUAAAAUUUUCAUCAGAUAAAAACAUUCUCUUGGCACUCGAGAUGUCCUUGCCCAUGGAAAAUAAACAUUCAGUUGCAGCACUGGAAAGGAUGGCGGUGUUGAACUUGAUGAAAAAGCCCACUGACACUUGCUCACUCAAGAAGGCAUCUGUCAGUAGAUCCUUGGAGUUGGUCUCCAACCAGAUCUUUACUAAAUUCUGGGCCUUGUCCUUCAGUGACCUGUAGCUUCCACUCUCUUUUUGUUGGGUGACACCACUGAAGAAGUCAUCCUCCACCUCUUCAUUGUUGCUGCCCCCCCACUGUUGCUGCUCACUUCCUCAUACUGCUGUCUCAUGGCCUCCUUUUUCAUACUUUUUAGGGAUAAGCAAAUAGGAAAUAAUAGUUGCUACCCAAGGACAAAAAUUGUGUUAGGCUAUUAUUUUGAGUGGUUGUUCUAUGUGAGAAGAUGUUUUUAUAUCCAGAAUAUUUUUGAUACUAUCUGACACAGAAAUACUUUUUGAUUUCAAAGGCUACAGUCCAGUAUAACUCAGCUUUGACCAGGAUUAAGGUGUAGUGAAUCAACAAUUGUGUGGUUUGUAUUUGUGUAUAAGUCUAUAAAUUGUAUUUUUCAUCCAAAAGAAACUGAGUACACUAAGUUUCUCAACACCCUGGAUCCACCUGGAGUGUCAUCUCAGAGGUUCAUGCUGAAGAAAAGAUCCUCAAUUAUUCUUUCCAGAACUUUGAUGUUGCACAUUGAUACAAUGGUACAAGUUUGAUAUGUCCGGAGCUCUAACAAUGUUUGGCAAAGUUUUGAAUAAACUCCCAACAUUUUUUAUAACUUUUAUCUUUUAUAAUAAAACUUUUUCAUAUUU